UGCUUUGGCUUGUCCAUUUCAAAUUAGGGGUAGGCAACGACACAUCAGAGCAAUCAGAUGUGCCGUGGCUUUCAAAGAAGGUGGUACCGCCCCAGGCUGGUAACAGAGCAGGGAUCACACCUCGCCCUUAAUAGUGAAAGGAUAGCAAGCCU
rnacentral:SRP_RNA from 1 species